rnacentral:snRNA from 1 species
AUCGCUUCUCUGCCUUUUGGCUAAGAUCAAGUGUAGGAUAUAGCCUCUCAAACUAUUUUAUAUAAAGAAUCAAAGAAUCUGUAGAGAUAUUUUAUUCUUUAAAUAAUUUCUGAAACAUAA